ACACCUCAACAAUUGAGAAAGGACAAUGAUGACCCAGGAAGGAAUUACAACAGAAAAGAAUGAAAUACCAUCUACUAAACUAACUUAUAUUUCUAUAUCCCUGCAUAUUCCUUACGGUGUGAGAGAGAUCCUACUAGCUUUUGAAUAAUUUGUUCCGGUGCAAAAUCCAUUUUCACCCAAAUCUCUGAUAUUCUACAUUCUCUCCCAUCUCCCAUCUCCCAUUUUUCUCGUCUCCGAAUCUCAGAUAUUGGGCUCCCAAUUUGUUCUUCUUCCCUUCGUUUUAUCCUUCGUUUUAUUGUCCAGAAUUAAGUUAAUUUACCAUUUUCUUUCUCUCUUUUCAAUUUAGUCAUCUCCACCUUACAUUCUGUAAAUCCUAGGGUUUACGCCCCAAAAAACUUUGCCUCGUAUGCUAUCUUACAAUCUCUGCAGCGUUCUCUUUUGUUUUACUUCUAUCUAUAGAAGUUGAAAAUGUGGGAACUUCGAAGGGUGUAUUGGAGAUAACAAAGUUCGUUGUAUAUGUAACAGUUCCCAUUGGUCUUAUGUAUUUUUUCGCCAACAACACUCAGAAUCUUCAGAAAUUCAUGGGCGCAGUAUGCAUAUGUUUCUCUAUAGAAUAUCGUUCCGAAAAUCUUCAUUUUUACUUUAUAGUUUCAUAGAAUUUCCUAAAUUUUGUUUGGCUGUUCUAGUUUAGUACUGUUGGCUUAUGUGCAUGUGUAUGUAUGUAAUCUAUAAAUGUGUUGUUCAUUUUAACUUUGUUUGAUUGCAUGUUUGAUUCAUAUUAUAUCACUGAUUUCAAUGUUGGCUUAAAAGCAGCUUGUUAUUUUGCAAUUUAAUUUCGAGAAUUGCAUUAUGAGAAUAGGAUCUCUGCUUUAUUGUAGAUACUUGAUAUCUUAUUCUGCUAAUUCUAGGUUCAAAAUGAAGUGUUUCACAAUUAUAGUUUAUGAGACAUUAUAAUAUUUGCUCGUGAUUUACAAUUAUCGGUAUGUGUUGAAAUUUGGUUUUGAAGAUUGUGUUUUUGUUGCCAGUAGUCUUGUUGAUAUGUAUGGAAAGUGUGGUGUUAUAAAUGAUGCGGGGAAGGUGUUUAAUCGUAUGUUUAAGAGAAACAUAGUGACAUGGCAUUCAAUGAUUUCGAGUUAUGUUCAAAAUGGUUUGAUGGAGGAAGCAAUUGGGAUCUUUUAUGAUAUGAGGAUGGAAGGAAUAAAAACCACUCGUGUUACAUUUUGGGUACUUCCAUAAUAAAUUUUUAUUCAAAGGUUGGUUUGAUCAAGGAUGCUGAGCUAGUCUUUAAGUAGGAUGCUUGAGAAAGAUGUGGUUACUUGAAAUUUGCUAAUAUCUUGUUAUGUCCACCAUGAUCAGGCUGAGAGUGGGAUUCGUUUGUGCCAUUUAAUGAGGCUAGAAAACUUUAGAUUCGUUUGUGUCAGUUUAUUGGAUGUUAGUAUUGUAUUAUAUAGACUUGUUGAUCGUUUUGGUUACAGCCCUUCUUGUCUUAGUAUGUUUAAUUGCUCCUGUAUCCCUUGCCUUAGUUGUUUAGUCACAGAGUACAUUAGUAUCCCUUAAAGUCAAGGCGUCUAUGCUUCUUAGUUUACUUGGUAAAAUAUAUAAAAAAUAUUUAUUUACAAUGAAAUAAUGUUUCACAAAAUUUAAAACAAAAACGUGAUAGCAAGGUUACUAUUGAUACAUUUUGCCUUAAUGAAAACAAGGGGAUAUAGGAUUGCAACUGCCAUAGAGGCGUAAGUUAUUUCAACUUUUCUUUGUAAAGGGGUCAAGAUGAUGAUAGAUUUUGGCUGCACAGUUCGUCUAUAUUCUCACUUUGAAGGAAUAUGAUAUGACAGAAUUAACUAGCACAGUUCUGUCAUUGCGACAUCAUGGUCCUGCAUGCUCAAUCUUUUGCAAUAUUAGACCCUUCAAUCUUAAUAUUACUUUAAUUUCUAGCUUAAAGACACUGGAGAAUAGUUGGAUGAAUUAUAAUAGAUUUACUGAUUGAUGGCCUGUUAAAUUUGGAACGAGGGGGCUUAUGUCUUGAUUCCAUUUAGUCUAUGUCUUGUAUGCUGGGGAAAAAACUACUUCUAGAAACUUCUCUGACAUGUGUUUUUGUUUUGUAGACUUAAGUAUCCUUUGACAACGAAUCUGGUGACACUGAAAAAUAUGAUUUUGAUGUUAACCAUUUGUCUAAAAUUAGCUGAUCAUCUUAUCAUUUCCUCCUUUGUUUCUUGAUCAUGAUCGUCCAUUUUAGCUUACUAGUCACUUUGUUCACAUAUAUUUUCUCAGGACGUUCUUGGAGCUACUGGUGAGUGAUUUGGUCUAUAUAAUUAUAUUGUUGAUAUCGUUUCAAUAUUAGUAUAUAAAUUAUCAAAUCCAAAUACAAUCAACUAUCUUCCUUGACUAUACCAGAGUGUUGGACCUACUUGCCCGUCAUAUCUUCUGAAUCUCUGUGUUUAUAUUCUGGUUUGUCACCAGAAUCAUUGUGUUGCGAUGUCUAAUGCACAAGUUUUUUCCAACAUGGUGAACAUGUUGUCUCUAUGGAGGCAGAAACAUACAAUUUCACUUACGGUUUUGUCUAGAUAGAAUGAGAUACUCAUGCUUAAGAUACAAAAUGGGGUUAAUUACACUUUAAAAAGGUAAGUAAGAUUAACCUGGAAACUAUAGUGUGUAUCUGUUCGGACACUAAUCUUAUCAGUUAUGAAGGUUCAGCCGUGAAUAUUUUUUGAUGAACUAGGGUGUCUCUCUAAAAAGCACAAGAGACGGGAGUUGGGAAUACUUUGAUAACCCAAUUGCAUUAAGGAACUGCACCAUUGACUGAUAUAUCUGUUUCAUUGUGUAUGAGAGAGAGAGAGAUGGAGAGAAAAAAAGAGAUCACACAUUUUUAUCUCAUGAAUCUUAUGCUUUAUACUCUAGUGACCGAAAUGGUGUUUGGCAGGAAUUUCUGGCCUCCUCAGAGAUCAGCGUAGAAGACAGUCUAUUGAGCUUUCAGCCACCAUUUCAUCUCACUAAGAUCAAUGGAGCAAACACCACCAUGCCUAGCUUUGCUCUAUCCUUCGCAUCCACACCGCCAACAAGAAAAAAAUCGUCAAAGGUUUGAGAUGAGCUGGCAUUUAAAAAUUUAUCAUUUCCUUGUACACUUUUUUCUUUUGUCUUAAACCGAACUUUAGCUCAUAAUCCCAUGUUAGUUGUUCGAGCACCAAUUGACCAAUUGGUUGGGAAAACAUUAAACUCAAAUUUGUUAUAUUACGCCAUUUAAUAUUCACAAUAUUUUUUUUAGAGUGCACUUACUUCAACUCACAAGUUAUAGCUAAUCAUACUACUUUUAACAUCAUCAUCCUGAAUUAUGAUUAUAAAUGAUUAUCAAGAUUAUAUAGAGAGCAUAAGAGAAGUUUUAGGGAUUAAAGAUCACAAUAGCAUCUGAAGAACAAUAUUACAGACCUAAGAAAGUUUGUAUCCGGAGGCAGCUAUGGAUGUGAAUGUAUUUAUGAAGUUCGCUUUUAGAAACACUUUGGUUCUGACCAUAUACAAUGAUAUAAUCAUAUUGAUAUCACAUCUAGUAAAUUUCUUGGUACAAAAAUUAUAACCAUUAGUUGAUGGAUACCAAGUUUUGCUACCGAGUUGUUUAGAACUUAUACUACUGAAACAAUUAAUAUAGUCUUGUUCACAACUUAUGAUGGGUUCACCUUAUAAUAUUCCACAGGAAACCUUGCUUUAUCUUGUUUAAAUCUAUUUACUAGCAAGUUCUUAAUGUGACUGACCAAAAUUUUAUCAAACAAUGUGAUUCCUAAAUGUUAGACUUCAAGUUGAUUUUUAGUACACUGUGUAAUUGCAUAGAUUUACUCUUGGGUCCAUAACUUUCUUAUAUCUCUCUCUACAAGUUCAAUGCUUUUAGUUAUUUUCUAUGAUAUUACUCUUAGGUUCAAUUCAAAUGUCUUAAACGCUCUUAAAGGGACAUUAUUACAGACUUAGAGACUUCAACAUCCUUCGAUACUGGUUCACAACUGUAGUGUAUAAUAGGAAACUAUGCAUUUUAGAACAAUGUUUCUGCAGAUCUACUGUCAUCUACUUCAAAAUAUUUUUAUGUUCUCUUAAAAGUAUUGGUAUAUUUCUAUUUGAGAUUGUUAUACUAAUGAAAGUAUAUCUUGAUGUUUACGCUAUAGUCCUAGACGCCUCUAUGAAGUUUUCUUUCCCAAACUCUUUGCAUCAAUGUUUACAUAAUUCACAUGUGAUUAUGCUGUAACAAAGUUAUCAACCUCACCUACUAAAUCAUCAUUUUUUCUAAGCUACAUUAUGUAAUUAUCCCCCCAGUCAGGGGCUUCCUUUUGAAUUGGUAAAAUAGAGUUGAGGAAUUGGAGGAAGGAAGUAGAAAGAAGUUGUGCACAUAGAAACUGUGCUUGGAGACUUAACUUAAUGAAUAUCUUUGUGAAAACAAGUUUUAAUAUGUAUCUUAUCACUGACUAAAAAUAAUACCAUUUAGUAUGCUCUAGUUUUAUUAAAUUAUCUUAAUAUUUUAUGUGCCUAUUUUGUGUGGGGACUUAAAAAAAUUGAUUUGCAAAUUUGGUUUGCUUUUCUAGAUGGACACGUACAUUAGAAGUGGCACUAUUAUUGGCUUAGGGUCUGGCCACGCUUCUCGUUUGGCAAUACAAUAUCUGGGACAGUAACUUCGUGCUGGUAAAAUAAAAGAUAUAGUUGGGACACGUGAGUAUAUAUUCUUCUGUAUCCUUAUAACGGAUUAUCAUUACAAGUGCCACCACUGACCAUCCAGAAAAUGAAGUCAGGUUUCCUUGAGCUGUUGUCACCUAUCAAGCGAUUGACUGCUUGCUAGAGAAAAAACUGAAUGAUACUGCAUUCAUGAAAAAUGAGCAACUCCAAGUUUGUGUCCAUAUAUGGUGGUUUUACUUCUGAAUUCUGUGAUUGCCAUAGGCAAAUUAGAUAAUUGACUCUACAUUCUUUAACUCAACUCUUCCUUGAUUUCAUGAUUAAAAUACUAAUGAAUGGCAUCCCAAUCUGUACUUCAUGGCCAAUUUCUAUCGUACAACAUAAACUUCUGAUACAAAAAAAUGGAUCCGUCCUAUUUAGCUGCUCUUUCUUAGAACAAACUCUUAUUUAUCCUUGUCUCUAAAGGUUUAAGGAUCAUGCAUCAAGCAUACUCCUGUGCCUAUGGUUCCUUUGUCUCACAAAAGUGUGGUAGUGCAGUUACUGAAUCUGCUGUUUAGGCGUGAUUUGAUUCUUUUGAUUUUUUUUGCUUUAUUUUUGUUCAUGUUUUUUCCUUUACGUGUCUCUUUUUCUUUUUGCUUUCAGUUUCUACUUUCUAAGCUCAGAUGUGUAAUGAGCGUUGAUACGGUGCAGAUCUGUUGGCAGUGCAAGUGAAGCAGCAAAGGCAGGGAUACUUUUGGAUCAGUAUGAAGUUAGUUCUCAAGUGUGCACAAAUUCUAAGUUUCAAGUUACUUUAUUGAAUUUUAACUGGGGUCUGUGAGUAUUAUGUGCACAAAUUCUCAUCUCAUUUUGAGGCUCUAUAGGAGAAAUGGAUGGCCUAGCUUAAAGAAAAUAAAAAUACAUUCAGGGACUCUUUCCCAUGGGAGCUGCAAGGAAAUCAGACAGUUUGAGACCGUCUUUAGGCCUCCAUCAUUUUUUUCUCCCAAGUGUUCUUUUUUAUAACCCAAACUCAAACCCAACUUAAAAUCCUAAUCCAAACCCAAACUGCAGAAUCAACAAUCAAGAAUCACAUAAUCACAAAAAGCAAACAAUGUCAUUGAAAUUAAGUACAUAUCAGUUUUGGGGAAUUUGUAGAUGAUUUGGAUUUGCUUCAAUCGAUGAGAAAAUGGAGCCGAAGAGUUCAGAUUCUUUGUGGGAUGUGGCUUUUGAUUUGGGGUCGAGCUCUCCUUUUCUUCAUGUUUUCUUUCACCUUAUAUGUUGAAGUGAUGAUGUUUAGACAGAGAAAUCUUUAAUCCUGGUAUAUGUGAGUUGAUGAAAUAGGUCUUUUGAGUUUUUAUGUUGUUGGUCCUCCAAAUUUGAAAUGUGUUGUUUGAUUGAAUGAAAGAAGUAACUGAAGCCUCCUAUGAAGCCAAUCAUACGGUUCAAAAUGGAGGCUAAUAAACAAAUAUAGCU
rnacentral:lncRNA from 1 species